AAUCUGUGUUGCGGGCACUUUCUCGAGAGCUUCUUGAACCUCUCCCACGUCUCAAAUAGAGACUCUAAUUCCAAUUGUACAAGGAUGAGAUCUCAUUUCUAAGCUU